rnacentral:lncRNA from 1 species
UGUGCAUUAUUCAUGUAAAUAACUUUAUCAUGGUGCCACAGUUAUUUUUUUUAUUUUAAAUUCCCCUUUAAAUAAUGAGAGGUCGAAUCAGUAUUUAAAAAUUAAUAGUUAUAAUACUUAAAUAAAUUUUGAAGUUACCCUUCACUUCAACCAACACAAUUGAUAUAUUGAAAAGACGUUUACUUAGUAGGCUAAAGGGACAAAUAUACAACACACUUAAGUGAUAAAUAUGGCUAUACACAUUUAUCUUUUUCUUUAUGAGUUUUAACAUUAUAUGAGCUUUAUAUAUUACAUAUUGAUCAUAUUGUAUAUGUUACUGGUAAAGAAAAAGAUAAAUAUGGCAAAGACUGUCAAAAAUAUUUAUGCUAUACUUUUAUUUUGUUCCCUAUUUCUUGUGGAAAAUAAGCAUGAUGGUAAGCCGUUUUUCUUGGCAAAAGAAAAUGAGUACUGUAACGAUUACUAUGAUUGUGAAGAAGUUUAUUGUGAUUGUAUUGACAACAUAUGUAUAUUUGUUAGUUUUUGGCGGUGGCCGUUUUGGUGAGUUUUAGAUGUAAGAAAACUCUAUGGAAUAUAUGUAUUUUUAUUUAUUUUAGUUUCAUAAUGUUACAAACCUUGUAUUUAUGCAUUUGUACUCCUAAAAUGAUGAUGAUAAAUAAAACACAAAAAUAUAUUAAUUACAUUAUUAUUAUUAUUAUUAUUAUUAUUAUUAUUAUUAUUAUUAUUAUUAUUAUUAUUAUUAUU